CUGGGUGGGCGGGGAGGAUGUGUAACACGCACAGGGCACACGCCAAGGUUCAAGGCUCGCGUGGGCUAGCCCGUUCCUACACGUGGCUGCACCCCUCACUGCUCCUCUUUCUCCGGGCUCCUCUCCUUGAAAAUCAAAGGCUCCUGCUCAGUUUUCACCCCCACGUGUCCCAGCCAUCCCAACAGAGGAAUGCCCGAGGUGGCUAGGACGGUGGCUUCUAGCUCAGAGGGUGCCCCCCUGACAGCCUGGGGGAGGGCUGACCUGGCUGAGGAGUGGCAGGAGGGGGUUAAGAGCAGCCUGUGAAUGGGGGCAGAACGGAAGAGCAUCGGCCUGGCCCUCUUCUUCCUCUCCCCACCUUAUUACAUAUGGCCUUGUAUUAUACUACGUAAUAUAUGUAUUCGAUAUGGCCUUGUGAUAGCAAUCAUUCACACCUUAGUGUAAAAUUUCCCCACCAGAUAGAUCACUUCCUCAAGUGAAUUUCUUUGGUUAUGGAAUAGAAAGCCACGGCCAGAGUCCAGGGGGUUUCAGGUGCCAGGACAGGAGUGGGGUUUAAGGACAAAAACCAUCCAUGAGCCUCGAUUUCCUGCUCUCCUCUCUGAGGUUGUUUUUGCCUGCCUGCCUCGGCAGUGCGGCUGCGCUUCAGCCUGGUUGGACUACCUGAGAAAUAAGGCCAGAAGGUCAGGUCUGAAACCCAAUCUAGGCUGUGCAGCCACAGAGCCAAGGGUCCAGACUCCUGGGAGUUGGACAGAGACAGGAAGUUAAAAAUAGAUGUGCUGCUUCCCUGUCCUGGUGGGCAGCUUCUUCCUCACCCGUGGACAAGGUGGGCCGAAGAGACUGAGGCCAGAUGGUGGUCGCUCGGGGACCUCAGAACCCACCCAGGCUGGGAGGUCUCCAGAAUUCCCCGAGCGAGCGGGAGAUUCUCCAGGAGGAGCCCCCAGGAGAGGUCCGGCCAUCAGGGUCAUCUUUCUCGAAACAAGAUGCAGACUUUGCCGGACGUGAUCUUGUCCUUGCUGAUGGCCAGUGAGGCCUCGUGGGACAGGGUCCGAUCCCCUCUGGCCUCUUCCCGCCCAGAGUGCUGACCCAAGAAAUCCCGGAAUGGAGCAGCAAGAGGCUAGGGGCCCACCUUGGGACAUUAUCUGGGCAGAGCUCCGGACUGGGGCCUGCGGGAACAUUCCGAUGGAUGCAGGAAAUCCAGAGGCCCCCAAAGGCCCAGCAGGAGGAGAGAUGCAGGCAGGACCGGGCACAGAAUUCAAGAGACCCAGUGCAAAAGAAAAUGAGGGGCCUUUGAUUUCAAAACACAUUAAGGAUUUCGAGAUGGCAACGGCAGAGCAUUACAACUGAGCACGGGGCCCUGGCACGUGCCGGAACUGAGCAGCCGAGAGAUGAGUGGGCGUCCGGGAGAGCCUGACCUCAGGGGCCAGGCAUCACUGGGGAUGGAGAGGGCAGCUGUGGAACCCCAGGGAGGAGCCAUAGUCUGGGGCUCAGGUGGUCCACUCCAGGACACGGCAGUGAAGCCAAGGCUCAAAGGAGGUUAAGCAGCAACUGGCCAGGUUCGGAGCCCCGCUUGGCUGGGAGUCCUGCCUGUUACCACAUUGGCUCGGACAGGCAGAUAUUUGGGUCCCUCAGGAUGCCUGAAGGAUGGCCCCACAGGCCUGCUAGCCGGCAGACAGCACCCCCAGGCUUGCACGGUGCCUGAUGGGAAGCCCAGGACCAGGUGGCGGCCCCAGGAGUGGAAAUGAACCUUUCUCCUGGGGAUUACCUGCAGCUAGAGGGAACACAUGGAGAGCCAUGAACUCGUGUCUGGAGGGUCCAGACUGACCCCAGGCCCAUCUCUGCCGAGGCUGCUCCUCUUCCUUCGAAAAUUCCCCUCAAGCCCCUGCCGCGUACCAGCAUGUGUUGGCUGCUUGCUAUGUGUCACCCCAUUGUACUCUCAUGACAGCUCUGUGGGGGAGGGACACUCACGAUCCCCAUUUCAGAUGAGGAAACCGAGACUCAGGGGUGAAGUCACCGGCCCCAGGUCACAGAGCUGGGGUAGGUGGCCCCGCGUCCCAUCCUGUCAAACAGGAAGAACAUUCCAUCCUAACCCCGCCCCCAGGAGACUAAGUUCCAGUUCCGAACCCGGCUUGCUGUGUGACCUUGGGUGAGCAGCUCCACCUCUCUCAGCCUGCUUUCUGAUCUGCCAGGUGGGCCUGAUAAGCUCAGGCAGAGCGGACUUACAGGACCAACUGAGAUGAUACCCAUUCGGGUCUCAAGGAAAUUACAGGUUUCUCCCAGCACCCAGUGUCACACACGUACGUCCGCGCGCACGCGCACGGUGCUGGGCUGCAGGCCUGCCAGCAGAGCGAGCCUCGGGGUCACAGGCGGCAGAAGACCAACCAGCCCCGCACCCUCCACCGGGGCAGAACUUACGCGAUCCUCCGGCUCUGCGCGCUGCUGAAGCCCGCGAAGGAGGCGCUCCGGCCCACGACCCCCACGGCCCCCGC